rnacentral:rRNA from 1 species
GACGAACGCUGGCGGCGUGCCUAAUACAUGCAAGUAGAACGCACAGUUUAUACCGUAGCUUGCUACACCAUAGACUGUGAGUUGCGAACGGGUGAGUAACGCGUAGGUAACCUGCCUGGUAGCGGGGGAUAACUAUUGGAAACGAUAGCUAAUACCGCAUAAUAUUGAUUAUUGCAUGAUAAUUGAUUGAACGAUGCUAUUGCAUCACUACCAGAUGGACCUGCGUUGUAUUAGCUAGUAGGUGAGGUAACGGCUCACCUAGGCGACGAUACAUAGCCGACCUGAGAGGGUGAUCGGCCACACUGGGACUGAGACACGGCCCAGACUCCUACGGGAGGCAGCAGUAGGGAAUCUUCGGCAAUGGACGAAAGUCUGACCGAGCAACGCCGCGUGAGUGAAGAAGGUUUUCGGAUCGUAAAGCUCUGUUGUAAGAGAAGAACGGGUGUGAGAGUGGAAAGUUCACACUGUGACGGUAUCUUACCAGAAAGGGACGGCUAACUACGUG